UAGGGAAUCUUCCACAAUGGGCGCAAGCCUGAUGGAGCAACACCGCGUGAGUGAAGAAGGGUUUCGGCUCGUAAAGCUCUGUUGUUAAAGAAGAACACGUAUGAGAGUAACUGCUCAUACGUUGACGGUAUUUAACCAGAAAGUCACGGCUAACUACGUGCCAA
rnacentral:rRNA from 1 species